rnacentral:rRNA from 1 species
AACGUGGGUAACCUGCCUCAUAGAGUGGAAUAGCCUUCCGAAAGGAAGAUUAAUACCGCAUAACGUUGAAAGAUGGCAUCAUCAUUCAACCAAAGGAGCAAUCCGCUAUGAGAUGGACCCGCGGCGCAUUAGCUAGUUGGUGGGGUAACGGCCUACCAAGGCGACGAUGCGUAGCCGACCUGAGAGGGUGAUCGGCCACAUUGGGACUGAGACACGGCCCAG